ensembl:snRNA U1 U1 spliceosomal RNA
AGAUCAGCAGAUAUAGAAAUAUAGGAUGAUCGCAAAGGUGGUUUGCCCAGGGCGAGGCGCAGACAUUGCACUUUGGUUGUGCUGACCUUUGCAAAUUCCUGAAAUGUGGAAAUCCUAGCUGCAUAAUUUCUGGUUGUGGAGGACUGUGUUCAUGCUCUCCCCUG